rnacentral:rRNA from 1 species
GACGAACGCUGGCGGCGUGCUUAACACAUGCAAGUCGAACGGAAAGGCCCUGCUUGCAGGGUAUUCGAGUGGCGCAAGGGUGAGUAAAACGCGGGUGUACCGUCCUGCACAUUGGGAUAUGACUGGGGAAAUCGGUCUCAUAUCCGAUAGGAGCGAUCCUUAUGGUGAGGGGUGGAAAGAAUUUUUGGUGUAGGAUGGGCUCGCGGCCUAUCAGUUAGCUGGUGGGGGAAUGGGCUACCAAGGAGGGCUAGGGUUGCCGGCCUGAGUGGGUGGACGGGCACAUUGGGACUGGAAUACGGCCCAGACUCCUAACGGAGGCAGCAGGGGGGAAUUAUGCACAAUGGGGGCAAGCCUGAUGCAGGGACGCCGCGGGGGGGAUGACGGCCUUCGGGUUGUAAACUCCUUUCGCUAGGGACGAAGCUUUGUGUGACGGUACCGAGAUAAGAAGCACCGGCUAACUACGUG